AUUGAACGCUGGCGGCAGGCCUAACACAUGCAAGUCGAGCGGAUGAAGGGAGCUUGCUCCUGGAUUCAGCGGCGGACGGGUCAGUAAUGCCUAGGAAUCUGCCUGGUAGUGGGGGAUAACGUCCGGAAACGGGCGCUAAUACCGCAUACGUCCUGAGGGAGAAAGUGGGGGAUCUUCGGACCUCACGCUAUCAGAUGAGCCUAGGUCGGAUUAGCUAGUUGGUGGGGUAAAGGCCUACCAAGGCGACGAUCCGUAACUGGUCUGAGAGGAUGAUCAGUCACACUGGAACUGAGACACGGUCCAGACUCCUACGGGAGGCAGCAGUGGGGAAUAGUGGACGAUGGGCGAAAGCCUGAUCCAGCCAUGCCGCGUGUGUGAAGAAGGUCUUCGGAUUGUAAAGCACUUUAAGUUGGGAGGAAGGGCAGUAAGUUAAUACCUUGCUGUUUUGACGUUACCAGCAGAAUAAGCACCGGCUAACUUCGU
rnacentral:rRNA from 1 species